GUGCCGUAGCCUAGUGGUUAAGGCGAUAGACUACAAAUCUUUUGGGAUAAUCUUGCGCAGGUUCGAAUCCUGCCGACGACG
rnacentral:tRNA from 1 species